rnacentral:rRNA from 1 species
UACAGAGGUGGCAAGCGUUGUUCGGAAUUACUGGGCGUAAAGGGCGCGUAGGCGGCCUUCUAAGUCAGACGUGAAAUCCCCCGGCUUAACCUGGGAACUGCGUCUGAUACUGGGAGGCUAGAGUGCGGGAGAGGGAUGCGGAAUUCCAGGUGUAGCGGUGAAAUGCGUAGAUAUCUGGAGGAACACCGGUGGCGAAGGCGGCAGUCCUGGACCGACACUGACGCUGAGGCGCGAAAGCUAGGGUAGCAAACGGG